rnacentral:rRNA from 1 species
GACGAACGCUGGCGGCGUGCUUAACACAUGCAAGUCGAACGGCAAGGCCCUGCUUUUGUGGGGUGCUCGAGUGGCGAUCGGGUGAGUAACACGUGAGUAACCUGCCCUAGACUUUGGGAUAGCUUCAGGAAAGUGGGCCUAAUCUCGGAUAGGAGCUCCUGCUGCAUGGUAGGGGUUGGAACGUUUCGGCGGUCGGGGAUGGACUCGCGGCUUAUCAGCUUGUUGGUGGGGUAGUGGCUUACCAAGCCUUUGACGGGUCGCCGGCCUGUGAGGGUGACCGGCCACAUUGGGACUGAGAGACGGCCCAGACUCCUACGGGAGGCAGCAGUGGGGAAUAUUGCACAAUGGGCGGAAGCCUGAUGCAGCAACGCCGCGUUCGGGAUGACGGCCUUCGGGUUGUAAACCGCUUUCGCCUGUGACGAAGCGUGAGUGACGGUAAUGGGUAAAGAAGCACCGGCUAACUACGUG